rfam:Papilio machaon contig54935, whole genome shotgun sequence.
GUCUUGAUAGCUCAGUGGUAAGAGCGCCCUCCGCAACGGUGGGAGGCCCAGGUUCGAUUCCCGGUCAAGACC